GACGAACGCUGGCGGCGUGCCUAAUACAUGCAAGUCGAGCGAACUUUUAGGAGCUUGCUCCUAAAAGUUAGCGGCGGACGGGUAAGUAACACGUGGGCAACCUGCCUAUAAGACUGGGAUAACUUCGGGAAACCGGAGCUAAUACCGGAUAAUUCUUUCCUACACAUGUAGGAAAGCUAAAAGGCGGUUUACGCUGUCACUUAUAGAUGGGCCCGCGGCCCAUUAGCUAGUUGGUGAGGUAACGGCUCACCAAGGCAACGAUGCGUAGCCGACCUGAGAGGGUGAUCGGCCACACGGGGACGGAGACACGGCCCAGACUCCUACGGGAGGCAGCAGUAGGGAAUCUUCCGCAAUGGACGAAAGUCUGACGGAGCAACGCCGCGUGAGUGAUGAAGGUUUUCGGAUCGUAAAACUCUGUUGUUAGGGAAGAACAAGUACGAGAGUAACUACUCGUACCUUGACGGUACCUAACCAGAAAGCCACGGCUAACUACGUGCCAGCCGCCGCGGUAAAAC
rnacentral:rRNA from 1 species